CCUACGGGGGGCAGCAGUAGGGAAUCUUUCACAAUGGGCGCAAGCCUGAUGCAGCAACGCCGCGUGCAUGAUGAAGGCCUUCGGGUUGUAAACUGCUUUUAUAAGCGAGAAAUAUGAUGGUAACUUAUGAAUAAGGAUCGGCUAACUACGUGCCAGCAGCCGCGGUCAUACGUAGGAGCCGAGCAUUAUCCGGAGUGACUGGGUGUAAAGAGUUGCGUAGGUGGCAUAAUAAGUAGCUAGUGAAAUCUGGUGGCUCAACCAUUCAGACUAUUAGCUAAACUGUUAAGCUCGAGACCGUUAGGGGUAACUGGAAUUUCUAGUGUAGGAGUGAAAUCCGUAGAUAUUAGAAGGAACACCAAUAGCGUAGGCAGGUUGCUGGGACGGUUCUGACACUAAGGCACGAAAGCGUAGGGAGCAAACGGGAUUAGAUACCCCGGUAGUC
rnacentral:rRNA from 1 species